AUUCAUUCAAGUGAGAUGCCACAAAAUUCUUUAUAUACAUGGCAGUACGCUAAUAUAUACUGUACAUACAUGAAUUUGUGGUUAGAGCUUGACAACUGGCCUUUGUAGCUCAGUUGGUCAGAGAACUGCACUGGAAUCACAAGGCAACAGGUUUAAUUCCUGCCAGGAACCUAAAGUUGCAUUUUUUGCAAUAUUUACCCAUAUCCUAUAUAUGGCAGUACCGUA
rnacentral:lncRNA from 1 species